rnacentral:rRNA from 1 species
AGCGAACGCUGGCGGCAGGCUUAACACAUGCAAGUCGAGCGCCCCGCAAGGGGAGCGGCAGACGGGUGAGUAACACGUGGGAACGUACCCUUCAGUUCGGAACAACCCAGGGAAACUUGGGCUAAUACCGGAUACGUCCGUAAGGAGAAAGAUUUAUCGCUGAAGGAUCGGCCCGCGUCUGAUUAGCUAGUUGGUGAGGUAAUGGCUCACCAAGGCUACGAUCAGUAGCUGGUCUGAGAGGAUGAUCAGCCUCAUUGGGACUGAGACACGGCCCAAACUCCUACGGGAGGCAGCAGUGGGGAAUAUUGGACAAUGGGCGCAAGCCUGAUCCAGCCAUGCCGCGUGGGUGAUGAAGGCCCUAGGGUUGUAAAGCCCUUUCGGCGGGGAAGAUAAUGACGGUACCCGCAGAAGAAGCCCCGGCUAACUUCGUGCCAGCCGCCGCGGUAACAC